rnacentral:rRNA from 1 species
AACGAACGCUGGCGGCAGGCUUAACACAUGCAAGUCGAGCGCCCCGCAAGGGGAGCGGCAGACGGGUGAGUAACGCGUGGGAAUCUACCCAUCCCUACGGAACAACUCCGGGAAACUGGAGCUAAUACCGUAUACGUCCUUCGGGAGAAAGAUUUAUCGGGGAUGGAUGAGCCCGCGUUGGAUUAGCUAGUUGGUGGGGUAAAGGCCUACCAAGGCGACGAUCCAUAGCUGGUCUGAGAGGAUGAUCAGCCGCACUGGGACUGAUACACGGCCCAGACCACUACGGGAGGCAGCAGUGGUGAAUGUUGGACAAUGGGAGAAAGCCUGAUCCAGGCAUGCCGCGUGAGUGAUGAAGGCCCUAGGGUUGUAAAGCUCUUUCACCGGUGAAGAUAAUGACGGUAACCGGAGAAGAAGCCCCGGCUAACUUCGUGCCAGCCGCCGCAGUAAUAC